CUAGAUUCAAAGUCUAGUCUAGCACUAAAAUUUGCUUAGAAUAUAAUCUUGUGAAAAUUACGUAACCUCCAUAAGCUAAGAUUUCUUUGUAAACUUGGCAUCUUAAUGGUACUUAUCUCAUAGGGUUGUUGUGCUUAGCAAAUGAGACAAACCAGGUAAUAGGUUGAGGAUGAGUCCUGGCAUAUGGAAAGUACCCCAAACGUUAUUCUAACUCUUGGUCAGAGGCAAAGGGAACCAACCUUGUUUCUAAAGAAACCAUACCAGAAAUAGUUUUGAGAGAAAAAAUAUGAUGGGUAGGUAGAAAGAACUUGAACUGACUCACAUAAAAUAUUUCUCAGAAAUCAUCCCUGGCAGACGUGACGGGGAAGCAACAAAUCAAUGAAUCACUUGCGAGGAGAUGGAUGGCCGUCAGGGGCAGCGUGUUGCUAUGACGACCUGGUUUUGUGUGUGGGGAGCAGAGCCCAGUGCAGAUCAUACAGUGGGGCAGGCGGACCAGGGAGUGUGUGUCUGAGUGGAGGGAGACGGUGGAUCAUGGCAGGGCUGGUGGCGAAGAGGACACUGGGAAAUCUGUCAAGGCUGCCCUGGUGAGCGGAUCAGGGAGAGACCACCGGUUUUUCUGUAUCUUCCAAAAUGUCUGCAAUGCCUGUAUUCCUGUGUAAUCAGCCUUCUGCUUCCUGCCAUGUGUCUGUUGGAUGAUGGAAGAGACCUUGCAUGCACCCGAUGCCUGUGGUCUGAGAAGCAGAGCUCGGUGAGAACCGCCAGGAAAGGAAGUGUGGCUACAGCAAUUUCAAGUUUUGAGCAUCAAAUGGAAUUUUCACUGGCUUGCGGGUAGUGUGGAAAUUAUUGGUAGGUCUGAUUAUUAUUUAACCUGAUCCUGUCCUUCAUGUUGGAGAGGAUACUGAGAGGGGAAACACACAGUUUCUUUUGAAUCUGAGAGCAAAGGCUCUCUUUUGAAGGCUGCUGUAUUUGCCUCAACUGUAGCAAAUUAAUGCAAUCACAUGAAAAUUCUUCAUUGUGAGGGAUGGUGACAAGUGAUCAGCAUUUGCCUUUGAGGAAAGGGAUUUUGAUCACACUGAAAUAAACAUCUCUCCUUUAAAUUUUCUGUAAUUAAAAAAACUCACAUGUUACUUGGGCAUUUUACUUGGGAGUCUUAAAAUGCUUCUAAAAUGCUUCUUGUUGCACUUAGUGACACUACAAAGUAUCUGGCUUAAUUAACCAAUGGAUACGCUUCAUUCUAAACUCCUUUUGAAUCAUGAUCCUGCUUCGUCCAAUGCUAGAUUCAUAUCCGGUAGGGAGUCUUCAACUGAAUAGUUUGGCACACUGUUUUCACUUUUUACGUGUGGUUUUGAACAGCGGUUGUCCUUAGAAUUGAAAUAGCUUAUCUCUGAAUUCUAAGCAAAAUGCCAGGCGUCCUAGAAGCAAACUUCCUCUGACAGACAGUUCCAGGAAACAUGAUUCAUCUGCCCAGGAAGUGUGCCAUGGGAGUGCCAUGAUAACAGAGUCAGUGCAGAUCAAUCACUGCUAAGACAUCAGAUCUCCUCUGCUUCUCUGCAUUUCUCCAGCCAGCAAACAGGAUUUUAACUACUCCACUCUUCGAUUUGGAUACCCAGGCCCUGUGGCUUUUGGAGGAAAUCAGUGAGGCCAGGGAAAGGGAGCCCUGCUUUCAACAGGUGGGGCCAAUCUACGCUAAUCACGCUGGGAAGGCUGUUUUGGAAAUCAAAUAACUCAUGAAAUUGUGUUUAUGUUUAAGAAAAUGAUAAAUAAUAUUUAUUAGCACUUACUCUGUGCUGAGUAUCACUCUAAGCCCUUUCCAUGUUAUUACCUAAUAAAAUUAAAAUUCCUAGGGGCUUCCCUGGUGGCACAGUGGUUAAGAAUCCUCCUGCCAAUUCAGGGGACACGGGUUCGA